UAACGCAUUAAGUGCCCCGCCUGGGGAGUACGGCCGCAAGGCUAAAACUCAAAGGAAUUGACGGGGGCCCGCACAAGCGGCGGAGCAUGCGGAUUAAUUCGAUGCAACGCGAAGAACCUUACCAAGGCUUGACAUGUUCUCGAUCGCCGUAGAGAUACGGUUUCCCCUUUGGGGCGGGUUCACAGGUGGUGCAUGGUUGUCGUCAGCUCGUGUCGUGAGAUGUUGGGUUAAGUCCCGCAACGAGCGCAACCCUCGUUCCAUGUUGCCAGCACGUCGUGGUGGGGACUCAUGGGAGACUGCCGGGGUCAACUCGGAGGAAGGUGAGGACGACGUCAAAUCAUCAUGCCCCUUAUGUCUUGGGCUUCACGCAUGCUACAAUGGCCGGUACAAUGGGUUGCGAUACUGUGAGGUGGAGCUAAUCCCAAAAAGCCGGUCUCAGUUCGGAUUGGGGUCUGCAACUCGACCCCAUGAAGUCGGAGUCGCUAGUAAUCGCAGAUCAGCAACGCUGCGGUGAAUAC
rnacentral:rRNA from 1 species